AAGCACAUCCCUAACACCCAGACAGAUUUAAAGAAAUCGGGAACCUCCCAGCCACCAGGAAAAUCAUCUUGUUCUGGGAGUUUAUUCACUAGGUUUGUCAUAUGUUUUCUAAGAGCCUGGUAGAGAUGGGUACAACCAUACUCCAAGGCAGGACAUUUCCCUGCAUCCAGGUUGAGGCCUGCUACCAGCAGGAACAUGGAGUACUCCAUGUGCUAGAGACAGACUGAUCCAAGGACCUCCAGAGCCUUCUGACCAACUACCUGCGAUCUCUCCAGAACACAGAGAAGUGAGUCUGCUGGGCCAUGGAACUCUAGAGGAGCACAUCAAAAAACCAGCCACCAUGUUGUCAGCUAUCAGACAGUUCCCUGAGGAAGGAUGCAACUAUCAAGGAUUUAAAUGGUUAAAUGGUCACAUUUGGGGGAUGACCACCAAAUGCAAUAACGUUUUGUAUAAAUGUCAUGAGAAUUUCUAUCUCUAAUUAAUCAAACUUAAU